AGUUAAAUAGUACGUGAAAUUGUUGAAAGGGAAACGAUUGAAGCCAGUCGUACCUUCGGGUAAUCAGCCUUUCGGGUGCGAUUCUGUGGAGUUUGAGGAGCUUAACACCUUCAUGCUUUGUAUAUUCGUGCUCUUGGGUGUACUUGCCCGUGUGGUUGGUUAACAUCAAUUUCGGGCACCAUAAAAUGGCUGGAGGAAUGUAGCUUCGAUCUUGUAUUGAAGUGUUAUAGCCUUCGGUAGAUGUGGUGAUCGAGAUUGAGGAUUGCAACGGAUACCUUUCGGGGCUACCUGUCUGAUCUCUGAUCGUUGCUUUGGUGCUGAAAGCGUGCUUAUAGUUAUCAAAGUCGAUGGUUAAUAGGUUAGAAUGGGUUAAAUUCGUUAAGGAUGUUGACGUAAUGGCUUUAAA
rnacentral:misc_RNA from 1 species